AAAAAACAAAAGUUGCAACAUGAUUCCACAGUAUGGCGCUGUGAAGAUAAGAAAGAUAUAUUAAGGAAGUUUGUUAAUAGAACGUUAGACGGACAUAAACAGUGAGAUUGAGAGUGAGCCAUUGGUACAAACUAAAAACCAAAAGCAGAAGCACAUUUGCGGUUGCAGGAGGGGCACUGGACACAUUUCGUCUCGGUGAAGUGCGUACUCUCGGACUAUGCUGAGAUGUUUGCUGCGUUUCUCCUCGACAUUGACAAGUUAUCAAUAAAAUAAUAUGUUACUGGGACUAAAGUAAAAAUAUAUUUCAAUCCC
rnacentral:misc_RNA from 1 species